CCGAACUGUCGACACGAGUUGUUGCUGGCCUUCAAAUGGGGGCAUGUGCACGCUCUGUUUACACAUCCACUCACACCCGUGCACCCUCUGUAGUUCUAUGGCGUGGGGGGUCCCGCCCUCCUGCUGUGGUUCUAUGUCUUUACAUACACACUGUGAUCAAGUCUUAUGGAAUGUACGUCGCGUUUAACGCAAUACAAUA
rnacentral:misc_RNA from 1 species